rnacentral:rRNA from 1 species
AGGAGUUUGAUCCUGGCUCAGAUUGAACGCUGGCGGCAUGCCUAACACAUGCAAGUCGAACGGAAACGAUGGGAGCUUGCUCCCAGGCGUCGAGUGGCGGACGGGUGAGUAAUACUUAGGAAUCUGCCCAUUAGCGGGGGACAACUCGGGGAAACUCGAGCUAAUACCGCAUACGCCCUACGGGGGAAAGCGGAGGACUCUUCGGAGCUUCGCACUAAUGGAUGAGCCUAAGCCGGAUUAGCUAGUUGGUAGGGUAAAAGCCUACCAAGGCGACGAUCCGUAGCUGGUCUGAGAGGACGAUCAGCCACACUGGGACUGAGACACGGCCCAGACUCCUACGGGAGGCAGCAGUGGGGAAUAUUGCACAAUGGGCGCAAGCCUGAUGCAGCAAUGCCGCGUGUGUGAAGAAGGCCUGCGGGUUGUAAAGCACUUUCAGUAGAGAAGAAAAGCCUAGGGUUAAUACCCCUGAGUCUUGACGUUACCUACAGAAGAAGCUCCGGCUAACUCCGUGCCAGCAGCCGCGGUAAUACGGAAGGAGCGAGCGUUAAUCGGAAUUACUGGGCGUAAAGCGCGCGUAGGCGGCUUUGUAAGUCGGAUGUGAAAGCCCCGGGCUCAACCUGGGAAUUGCAUUCGAUACUGCAGAGCUAGAGUAUGGUAGAGGGAAGUGGAAUUUCCGGUGUAGCGGUGAAAUGCGUAGAU